CCAAAAAAUGGCAUUUUUGCACCAAAGGGAGAUAAUUUGGAGCGUUUUAAGUGAUAUCUACAUUUUAAAAGUCCGCUGGGGCCAACACGAAUUGAUUUUUUGGAAUGAUUUUUGUACCACAUGAUAAAGUAACAACUACUUAAGGUAAUAAAUAAAAUUUGUAAUGAAAAUUUAAUGUUUAAUUUUUUUCUGAAAAUCUUAUACCCGCGAGCCUCCUUAAUUG
rnacentral:lncRNA from 1 species